UCUGAUCUAAUUUUAAUUUAUUUCAGGGUUUUUGCUCAGCUCUGCCCUUUCUGUUCCUGAGCACCUCCCCAUGAGUGGCUGUGGGCACAGCUGUGUGCCUGGGGACUUGGUUCUACAGGAGCUUUCAGCUCAGGUUUGGGUACUGAGUGUUGCCCAGUUUCCCCAUUCAGAAGGAGGAAGAAAAGACAGAAAUUCUCAGAGUGACUGCUGCCAUUAGUUUGCAGAGCCUGGAGCCUGUGAGAGCUCAUUUAUGAGGCAUCCGACAGCAAUCGGCACCAGAUCAUUCACAAUAUCUUCGCAGUGUGCAGGUCCAGUGUUGGAAGACCACAUGAGGAGGCUGUUAGUGCAGUUGUGAUUUCUAAAACAUGUGGCUCAUGAAAGUUCUAAAAGGGUAGAUGACAAUUCUGCAAGUUUGUGGUUUUGACUUCUCAUCCCAGUGGUUUGGAUCAGUGCUCUGAGGACGUGGACACAGGAAUUUGAAGAUGAGUUUCACUUUUAAUGUCUUUGUUUGGACGCCAAGCAAAUCACUAACUAAUUUAGGCUGAAAUGCCUUAGGAUGAUAUUUGCUCUUCUUUAUUUAAAUUCCAAGAGUUUAUCACUGCAGAAACAUUUCAGAUGCUUAUUGUGGAAACUCAUGGAAACGUGCUUUGUUAAAUAAUGUAUUUUCUAUUUUGUUUUGUUUUCUCCUUUUUCUUUGUGUUACAGAAUGGAUGUAAAAGCUUUAAAACGCAGUAUUCACCACUCUGCAGUAGAUCUAAUAGAGUGGCAUUAUAUGAAGAGAUGCCAUGGUAACUGAAGUUGCUAAGACAGUCGGUGUCAAGCUUUUUAAUGGUGACUGCUAUACUAUAUUUGGCUUUGAUUACUACAGUCUAAGUAGCAAACAGAAAAUGCUUACUGGUCUCAUUUGCUACCACCUGCAGUCCAGAAGUAAUGAGAUGACAGAAUUCAGUGUUGCACCAACUGCCAACCAGUGGCCAUCAGAAUUGCUCUUUGCAGCACUCCCCUCUCCCACUGGCUCUCAUGGCAUCCUUGUCACAGCCUUACCAUUCGUGCUGUCCAGUUGGUGAUAUGCCACUUGUCUUAAUGAAAUUUGGCACCUCAAGCCAGUAGAGGAGCCUGCACUUUGUGAGCUGGCAAAAAAUCAGCAAAGUCAUUUCCACAGGAAACUGUUCUUUGAAUCUGUAAGUGAGUGAAAGCAGAAUAAAGCAGAAACAUAGGCUGUUUUUUUCUCAUAAAUGGGUUAGGAGUACCAGUCUCCCUUGCUGUAAAGCUUUAUAGAUCCUGCUAUCAACAGUUUUCACAAAAAUGAUACAUUUCUGUGUCUCUUCAAUUUUUGUUUACUUUUUAAAUGCCAGAAUAGAAAGUGAAGUCACAUCGCCAAGGUGCCAUUUUAUCAUUUUGCUCGCUGUGAUACAAAUGAUUUACCUAUACACUGAAGUAUUACCACAAAUUAUAAUGAAACUCCUUGCCAAAACAUGCAGCAGUGGUUCCAAAACGUUACUCUUUACCUUUAAAUCCAGAACUCAGCUUUCAGCCAUUAGCAGUAGCCUCGUGCUGUUAACAUGAGAUAGGACUGCUUUACUUAAAAGGAAACAGUCACAGAGCGGGGAAUGAAAUGCUUCUUGACUGAGAUGCACAAUCCUGUCCACAACGGUUUUAGACUAUUGGGAAACUCAGUAGGCAGCUGACAGGCACAACUUGGGUAGGAAGAGCUUAAGGGUGAGUGCAGCUCAGCUCAGAACAGCCUUCUGUCAUUCUGUCUUGCAGUUAGGAAGACAUAAACAAAGAAGCGUGAUGAGAAGAAACUGAUAUCUUGGAGGGAAAGGAAAGAUUAAAUCAAUGCAACAUGGGUUGUCAAGAAGCCAAAUCUACACUGAAUUAAAACCACGUUGCUUUGCUUCUGUGGAAGAGCUGAUACUUGGUUGUUGUAAAAAAAAAAGUCGCACUUCAGUUGAGCAUCAGUUCAUCACUGAAACUACAAAGUGGAGCAAUCGUAGAGGUUAGCUGAAACGGAGCGACCUGUUGUAUGUAUGGCCCUGGAUGCGUUCCCACGUUCUGCUGUGUAUCCCCGCUACAGAGAUUCAGUUUGACCUCCAGCAUUUGGCAACCCUCGUGGCCUUCUGGCAGUUCUUCAGUCUUCAGAGGAGGUUUGGAGCUCCUCGGCAAUGAUUUCACAUAGCAUCUGUGGAUCCUAGUGGUAAAUAUUUUUGGUUGGCAUUCCGUGAAGCUGCCAGUUAGCAGCAGUGACACUCGACUGGUUUCCAUGCAGCGGAGCUGUGCAGUUAGAGUAAAUCUCACUGGAUUUGUUGCAAGGAGUUACACUAUGGCUAACUGUUUGUACCACUGCAACCUGUAGUUUUCAGUGUAAUUCUCUGCAGCCUGGCAAGUGCAUUAAUCGUUUUACAUAGUGUGAGGAACAAAAGGUUGCUCAGAUGCAGCACAGCUGCUGGAGAAGGAUAUAAAAAGGCCCAUUUAACAUCCACAGAUCCAGGAGAGAAAGCAGGACAACCCUGCUGCUGGUUGUAGGGCUGAACACGAGCGGCUGCUUCAUGCGACGCACGGCUGUGCCAGCGAUGCGCUGCAGAAGCGAUGGAUUAAGCUAAAGUGCAAGACUCUGUGCAUGACAUCCUGUUUUUGGAUAGCCCUGGAAAGUAAUGUAGAAGCCAUACGCAAAUGCAUCAAGUCUUUUUGCUUGCCUGUGCAGCGACUAAUUUCAUACCUAUGCUACAAAGCCCUUGGAACAUCCCGUGUAGUGCACAGACCAAGCGGUUCUCUCCCAGCUGGACAGGAGGAAUUUAUAUCCCUUUCACUGACACACAAAGAUUGCUGGGUUGGUUAAAUGCUCUGAUGUGUUAGAUAAUAUGUGCAGGACAUUGAACUUCAGUAGUACUGGAACGUGUGGAACAAACACCAUGGAAAUGAAGAAAUUCCUAGCCUUGGGGCUGUGGCUGCAAGGUAAAUGGUUGGCUGUCAGUUGUUGGCAUCAGCAACACUGCAGGCUUCACCACGAUGCAGAGCUCUGAUUGCCUGGCCAGACAUGGGAAAUAGGAGCAGGGCUGGAGGAGUGCAGUGUCACUGUUGGGACAGCACCUGGGCUGGAGCAAGGUGAUGCUGAGGUGAGCCAGAGUUCCUAACUCCGUUCAGAGCAGCCCCGUCCCUGAGCAACCACCAGGCAGGUACGUUUUAGAUGAGGGUA